rnacentral:rRNA from 1 species
GAUGAACGCUAGCGGCAGGCCUAAUACAUGCAAGUCGAACGGUAAUUUUGGUAGCAAUACUGAAAACGAGUGGCGCACGGGUGAGUAACACGUAUGUAACCUACCCUUAACUGGGGGAUAGCUCCGGGAAACCGGAAUUAAUACCCCAUAACAUUAUAGAAAGGCAUCUUUCAGUAAUUAAAGCUUCGGCGGUUAGGGAUGGACAUGCGGCCCAUUAGCUAGUUGGUGAUGGUAACGGCUCACCAAGGCAACGAUGGGUAGCUGGUCUGAGAGGAUGAUCAGCCACACUGGCACUGAGAUACGGGCCAGACUCCUACGGGAGGCAGCAGUAGGGAAUAUUGGGCAAUGGGCGAAAGCCUGACCCAGCCAUGCCGCGUGCAGGAUUGAAUGCUCUAUGAGUUGUAAACUGCCUUUGUCAGGGAAGAAAAAGUCCCAUUCUUGGGAAACUGACGGUACCUGACGAAUAAGCACCGGCUAACUCCGUGCCAGCCGCCGCAGUAAUAC